ensembl:lincRNA
AUGCUUUGCACAGCCAGAAGACCCAAGCCCAGUUGGCCUCACAGAAAUGGUGACACAGGGCUUUGGACUUCUGCCAGUUCUCCUGUAGGAAGCCCAGACUACCAUGCUUACACCAUCCUGCAGAGAGCCACAUUGUGGGAAGCAGAGACGCACCAUUUCUCACCAGUGAUCCCAGACCAGCUAGUCCACAAGAGCCCAGUAACAGGCCAAAGAUACCCAAGUGAGUCAGCUGGGAGCAAAGGAGUCACCCAGCCAAGCCCGACCUGCAUGGCUGAUUGUCUGUUUGUGGUCCUGGCUCUCCUGGCUCCCGAGAUACAGAUCAACUGGCCUCGAACUCACGGAGAUCCUACUGCCUCUGCCUUCUAG